GGGGUGGAACGAGAGGCAGGUACAAGGAGAUGGGGUGGAACGAGAGGCAGGUACAAGGAGAUGGGGUGGAACGAGAGGCAGGUACAAGGAGAUGGGGUGGAACGAGAGGCAGGUACAAGGAGAUGGGGUGGAACGAGAGGCAGGUACAAGGAGAUGGGGUGGAACGAGAGGCAGGUACAAGGAGAUGGGGUGGAACGAGAGGCAGGUACAAGGAGAUGGGGUGGAACGAGAGGCAGGUACAAGGAGAUGGGGUGGAACGAGAGGCAGGUACAAGGAGAUGGGGUGGAACGAGAGGCAGGUACAAGGAGAUGGGGUGGAACGAGAGGCAGGUACAAGGAGAUGGGGUGGAACGAGAGGCAGGUACAAGGAGAUGGGGUGGAACGAGAGGCAGGUACAAGGAGAUGGGGUGGAACGAGAGGCAGGUACAAGGAGAUGGGGUGGAACGAGAGGCAGGUACAAGGAGAUGGGGUGGAACGAGAGGCAGGUACAAGGAGAUGGGGUGGAACGAGAGGCAGGUACAAGGAGAUGGGGUGGAACGAGAGGCAGGUACAAGGAGAUGGGGUGGAACGAGAGGCAGGUACAAGGAGAUGGGGUGGAACGAGAGGCAGGUACAAGGAGAUGGGGUGGAACGAGAGGCAGGUACAAGGAG